GUUUGACAUUGGAUUCCUUCCCACUGUGGAGGACAAUGACAUGUACUCGGUCCAAUACACUCCCCACCAUUCUUACAUUCCUGAAGACAGAUCGCUGCACAAACAUCAUCACAAAGUUUGGUUAAAUUCCAAGUGAUUACUUUGACUUAUGACUCAGAUUUCAGGAUGUCCAUGAGAGGUUGAGUGCUUUUCAUACACAAGGGUCACAUCAUCUUCACUGAAAUAUCUAUCUAAGAUCAACAGGAUAUUAAAGAAGAGAGGCAACUGGAAACAAAAAGCCCUAUGGCCAAGAUGUUCUGCAGCAUCACAGGUUGCUACAAAAGCCUGAAGUACGCUAAAUAGCUUUGGUUUUUUCCAAAUUUACCUUUCUAAACCCCACAACUUGGUGAGAGAUCUUUUGUCUGUCAUGCAACUGAACACAUGGUGAAUCAACUCAUGAACAUUUGAUCCAAAGUUAUUUUCUGUGGCCCAUUUUUCUGCACAUUUGUCCAUGCUUAUUAAACCAUAAUCUAACCCACUAUUAUUUCCAUUCAUUAGAUGCCUAUUCGAUAAUCAAAUCUCUCUUCCACAGUGUCCAAGAAUAUCUCAUCCCUGUUAAUACUGGUAAUGUUUUUUUCAACAAAAAAAAACCUUUACAGAAAGUAAUACAGGGAAAAUUGUUUUUCCUCUGUGCCAUUAGAGAGCUCAUUGCCCACAUCAGUUCCUGAGCCUCGGGCAUUUAAGUUCAGUUAUUUGUAGUACCUCUGCAAGUGAAGCCAUCUCCAUAAUAACCGUAAGGACAAUGACCACACUUAAUGCUUCCAUCCUGAUUUGGCUCACAGCGUACACCAGGAAAACAGGAUGAUACAGCAUGGCUUUCUGAAGAUGCAGUCAUCACAGCAUGUACUGAAGAACCCACUUCCAUGUCAGCAAGGUGACCACUGAUGAGAGUGUGAGCAAUGUUUCCAGUAACAGCAGAUUAUUUGGGCAUGGACCACAAUGGUAAGAACCAAAAGUAUUGAAGCAAAAUACUCCAGGGAAGCAAGGACUGGAUGCACAUUCAUCUACAUCCUCUUGACAAUG